rnacentral:tRNA from 1 species
AGCGGAUUAGCUCAAUGGUAGAGCUACGGUCGGACGCCGUGGUCGCGGGUUCGAGUCCCGCAUCUGCUA